rnacentral:rRNA from 1 species
UGACGCUCAGAGGCGACAGCUAGGGGAGCGAACGGGAUUAGAUACCCCGGUAGUCCUAGCCGUAAACGAUGACCACGAGAUGUCCGGGGGAUCGACCCCCUGGGUGUCGAAGCAAACGCAGUCAGUGGUCCGCCUGGGGAGUACGGUCGCAAGAUUAAAACUCAAAGGAAUUGACGGGGACCCGCACAAGCAGCGGAGCGUGUGGUUUAAUUCGAUGCAACGCGAAGCACCUUACCAGGGUUUGACAUGCUCUUGCACCGCUUGGAGACAAGCGUCCUCUUCGGAGGCGGGAGCACAGGUGCUGCAUGGCUGUCGUCAGCUCGUGCCGUGAGGUGUUGGGUUAAGUCCCGCAACGAGCGCAACCCUCAUUGCUAGUUGAACAUCUCUAGCGAGACUGCCACGAUCAACGUGGAGGAAGGUGGGGAUGACGUCAAGUCAGCACGGCCCUUACAUCCUGGGCGACACACACGCUACAAUGGUCGAGACAACGAGUUGCCAACCCGCGAGGGGGAGCUAAUCUCAACAAACUCGAUCUCAGUUCAGAUUGCAGGCUGCAACCCGCCUGCAUGAUGGUGGAGUUGCUAAAUCAGUGAAUACGUUCCCGGGCCUUGUACACACCGCCCGU